CAGCACCUACAGAGAAGUAUCUGUUGACAUGAUGCUGAUAAAUAAAGCCCUGCUUCAGGUUUUCUGGUGCUCAGGAGGACUGAAUGAAUGACUGAUUCUUUGGCAGAGUGCGGCUGCUGUUGACGACUAUAGCCUAAAUAUAUUUUCAUUACACUGACCCUAUGUGACGGCAACAUGCUGUUAUGUUAAUCUAAGGUCAGGUUUAGUAUUACAGGCCACAGUAACAAGUGGCUUCAUUAAACCAACACUGAAACUGAUGUUACUGCUUUUGCUUCAGAUAUAACACUGCAGGCGAUACCACUGAUUCUUCAUGCUCUGAGUCAGAAAGCUCUCGGAUUUCAUCAAAUGAAUCUUAAUUUGUGGGUUUGGGAUGGGUCAGCAUGAGUGGAUCAGGGUUUGGAUGAGAUCUGUGAGGAGAGGAAUGUGGCCCUGCUGCUCGACAGACAACUUUUUCACUGGAGAAAGCAAUAUCAUGGCUAAGGGAUUCGUAUUUUAGACAGAGCUGUUUGGACUCUCAUUCUGACGGCACCCAUUCACUGCAGAGGAUCCAUUGGUGAGCAAGUGAUGUAAUGCUACAUUUAUACAAAUCUGUUCCCAUGAAGAAACAAACUACAUUUUGGACAGCUUGAGGAUUAGAGAUACAGAGACGCUGUGGGUUAAAUAAGGGAACACAUCUCUACUCUGUUAUCAAUUAUCAGCUUGAGGACAACACAGUACAAACCCACACUGUAAGAGGUUAAGUUGCGAAGAUGCCUGAACAAGGGUGAGUGUGUCUGUCUAAGACCAACAAUAACAAUAUUUAGUCUGAUA